AUUUUUUUUUUUUUUUGAGACCAGAUUCUCGCUCUGCUGCCCAGGCUGGAGUGCCACGGUGCAAUCUCGGCUAACUGCAACCUCCGCCUCCCAGGUUCCAGUGAUUCUCCUGCCCCGGCCUCCUGAGUAGCUGAGACUAUAGGUAUGCACGACCACACCCGGCUAAUUUUGUAUUUUUAUAGAGACAGGGUUUCGCCCUGGUGCCCAGGCUGGUUUCCAACUUCUGGCCUCAGGUGAUCCACCCACCUCGGCCUCCCAAAAUGCUAGAUUACAGGGGUGAACUGCCAAACCCAGCCAACUUAAGUUUUAAAUUGGAUGUUGAGGAGCGUGUGGAAGACCAGAUAAUUACCUCUAGGUCCAGAAUUUUUGUAGAUUUAUCUACAAAAUAAUUGUUUAAGUCUUUUAAACAAAGGUGUGCCCCUCCUUUGAUCCUGCCAUCAGUGAUCAAUGCAGGUGUAAUGAUUAUAGACUCUAACCCUUCAUUGAAAUAGCAUGUAAGGGGAAGUCUUGGACUUGGAUAAUUAUAGGAUAUUUCCUUAAUAAACCUUAUCUGAUCCUUUUCCGCUAAUAAUUGUAUGUAAUUAUAUUUAUGUGUGAGAACGUUGCAUAUUAAUAGAGACUAGGGCCCUGGGGACUUAAAGAGCUUAGGAAGCAUUUGACUGGAUACGACCAAUCGUUACAUGUCAUGCCAAGUACAUGGGGAGAUAGGAAUUUGUCAAAAAGAAACCAGAGAGUAGGAGAAACCCAACGCUUUCAUUAAUUGAUAAUAUUUUUAUUAGGUUGUUACUUUCAAGUGUCUUUUAGUACUUGCACUUGAAUUUAAAUGUCUGAAAAGGAAUGGGUAUUCAGGAAAAGAAAAGUAAUUACACCCUGUAAUUCUGAUUUAAUUACAAGGAAAUAGAUGUAACAUGAUGUGAUAAAAGUUAUGAUGGGCUCUUUAAAUGAUAUAUGUCAUUAACAUGUUAAUUGGCAUGAAAUCUGAACUCGGAGCCAGAGAAAUCUUAGGUGAAUAUGAGGUCAACUCCAUUACAGGCAGUUUUAUAAUGAAAAUUCCAUAAAAGCAUUUUAAAUUUUACUCUGCAAUGUACGAUUUCCCAUUUAUGUUCAAUACAAUGAAAUUUUAGUCCUGCUGUUUAAAAAAAAGGAAAAGAAAAGGCCAUCCCUGAAAUGCUGGGGUGGUUAGCUGGAACUUGCAAUUGACUAGACACAAAGUCAGGGCUGGAUUAAAUGGGGGAACGUUAUUCUUUUCUCUGCUCAGACACCAGGUCGUAUUCUCAAAAUCCAUUUCUCUCAACAUCUUAGCAUAAUGAUGAAAUAAAAUGCAUGAAGAUUUUGAUUUUUAAAAGACUGCUUUUUCCUCGAAGACUCAUCCCAGGAUCUGUUUAUUUUAUUUAAUUAUAACGUUUUGGCUCGUGGCUGUGGUUAGUAAUAAAAAAUGUAAAGAAUGCAUCCAUUCAGCAGAAGGAAGAAGCGACACUGCCAGAAGAGGGGAAGAUGUCCAGAGCCUGCGAGCCGCAGACCUUCAGCUGGAAAUACUGAAGACUCGUACUUGAAUACGGGGCUAGUUUGACGACUCCACUAUUGAUAUGCUUCGGUAUAAAAGUAUCGGCGUAUUCUCUCAUUCGACACUUCUCAGAGAUGGAAGCGUCUCUGUGUGUGAGCAGCCACAUUGGCACUCCUUCCUCAUGGCAUGUGUACCACAUUCAACACUCGGGUUGGCCUCCAUCAGCAGAGCCAUCCGUGAACAUGAAGGAGGACACAGACCAGAUGUGGAUGCUUCACACAGAGUUCUCUACUCCUCACUUCUUGGUAGACAUUUAUCCUACUUUAAUUCAAAUUAUUUAAAAAGAGAAUGGAUUCCAGGGUAUCUACAUUUGGUAAUAAUCUAAAAAGAAAGAGACUUGGGGAACCUGCAGAGGAGAGAAACUUCAGGUAAAGUGGACAUCAGGAUAGGAGUUGAUUUUUUUUUUUUUUGUAAUCUGUGUGAAUUUCAUUUAUUUAUGGAGUCUCAAUCUAAAAGUGAUUUAAGGUAGUUGUUUUCUAAUUUCAGCUUUUAUUUUCCACCAUGGAAUACUAUGCAGCCAUAAAAAGGAAUGAAAUCUUGUCCUUUGCAGCAACAUAGAUGGAACUGGAGGUCCAUCAUCCUAAGCGAAUUAAUGCAGGAAUGGAAAACCAAAUCCCGCGUGUUCUCAGAACUAGGAGCUAAACACUGAGCACGUAGGGUGGUAACAUGGGAACGACAGACACGGGGAGCUACUAGAGAGUGGGAGGGAAGGGAGCGUGGGAUGACAAACUACCUGUUGGGUACUGUGUCCACUACCUUGGUCCAAUAUACCCAUGUAACAAUCC
ensembl:lncRNA